UACGAAGGGGGCUAGCGUUGUUCGGAAUUACUGGGCGUAAAGCGUGCGCAGGCGGUCCUUCAAGUCAGGGGUGAAAGCCCAGAGCUCAGCUCUGGAAUUGCCUUUGAGACUGGGGGACUUGGGUACGGGAGAGGUGAAUGGAAUUCCGAGUGUAGAGGUGAAAUUCGUAGAUAUUCGGAAGAACACCAGUGGCGAAGGCGGCUCACUGGCCCGUUACCGACGCUCAGGCACGACAGCGUGGGGAGCAAACAGG
rnacentral:rRNA from 1 species